UGCUGGUGUAGUGGUUUGCAUGUUGAACCAGAACUCAGGGAGACCAGGGUUCAAAUCCCUGCUCAGCAA